AGAAUCAACGCUGGAGGCGUGCCUAACACAUGCAAGUCGAACGAGAAAGUGGAGCAAUCCAUGAGUAAAGUGGCGCACGGGUGAGUAACACGUGACUAACCUACCCUUGAGUGGGGAAUAACUUCGGGAAACCGAGGCUAAUACCGCAUAACACCUACGGGUCAAAGGAGCAAUUCGCUUAAGGAGGGGGUCGCGGCAGAUUAGUUAGUUGGCGGGGUAAUGGCCCACCAAGACGGUGAUCUGUA
rnacentral:rRNA from 1 species